ensembl:lncRNA
UUUAUUUUCAGGUCGAAAAGUUAAACACAUUGGGGUACAAGGCCAUAGUCUUCAUUGGAAAGAAAACAAAGAAGCAGAAAACCUGGUCCGCACAAGUCCUCCAGCCAAAAUGGCAGCUGUCAGACCAUUCUGAAAAAUGCCUUGACAGGAUGAAGGCCCUCUAUGAACUGUUAAUUAAUGGUAAGUGUGUGCGAUUAUUUAAAAUCUUACUCCACAGUCAACAUAAAAAUAAAUGUGACAGCAGUUACAGUUGGGGAUUUUCUUGGUACCGCUGUCACAGGGCAAACCACAGUGGGCCAAAAAUAGCUAUUCAUCUGUUGCUUCAUCAAAUUUGGUCUUUGCUUUAUCCAAUAGGUGUUUCUUUUAGAGCUGCGACAAUUAAUUGAUAUUUGAGAUUAUUAAUCAAUUAUACAAUUAAUCACCAACAAUUUUGAUAAUUGUUUAAUAAAAACAUUCUCUGCUUUCAGAGUCUUACAUAUGAAUAUAUAUAUAUAUAUAUAUAUAUAUAUAUAUAUAUAUAUAUAUAUAUAUAUAUAUAUAUAAAAUCUUUGACUUUGGGAAACACUGGUCAGCCUUUUUUUUUUUCUGAUGGUUUAUGGACCAAACAACUAAUCGAUUCAUUGAAAAAAAAAAAUAGCCGACAGAUUAUGAAAAUAACCGUUGUUUGCAGACAUAGUUUCUUUUACUAGUCAGUGAGCCACAUAGCUCACUGAUUGUCUGCCAUACAUAGCAAAAGAGUCAACAGCAAGAGGCAUUGCUCAAUUCAACUUCAAAAAACUAUAAACACAUAUCUCCACUUCACAUGAGAUAAUGAGAUCCUACAAUUUGCACCAGAGUACAAAAUCAGCCUCGCCUCAGUUCUACAGAGAGCAUAGAGUCCAUAGGGCAGCAUUUAUAGACAGAAGAAUACAAAAGACAAAUGUACUGGACGUUUCCUUAUGGAGCACAGUCCCUGCUAGAAAAAAGGGGACAUUUGUUCUUAUUACAGGAGGUGAAUAAUUUCCUCUUUUUGUACCAUUUAGGUUGUACUAACCAGCAGCCCGCCACCAGUCCUCCUCCCAUCCAGUCCACCAUCCAUCCCAUCACCAGUCCAUCUCCCAUCCAUCCCAUCACCAGUCCUCCUCCCAUCCAGUCCAUCACCAGUCCUCCUCCCAUCCAGCCCGCCACCAGUCCUCCUCCCAUCCAGUCUAUCACCAGUCCUCCUCCCAUCCAGUCCAUCACCAGUCCUCCUCCCAUCCAGUCCAUCACCAGUCCUCCUCCCAUCCAGUCCAUCACCAGUCCUCCUCCCAUCCAGCCCAUCACCAGUCCUCCUCCCAUCCAGUCCACCAUCCAACUCACCACCAGUCCUCCCAUCCUACCCAUCACAGAACCACCUCAGCAGAAACGCAAUAUGUCUGCAAACAAUAAAAAGAAGCAGAAGAAUUCUGCAGCCUCAGACAUGUCUACAAGGAAGAAACUGAGGGGGAAAAAAUCACCCAAAGGUUAUUAAGCUUUCCUAGAUUUACAUUUCACCAUUUCAAAUCAGACUUCAAAUACAGUGAUUCUUUUGCCUUAGCCAGAUAUACGUAAGUCAUAAAUAUAUCAUGUGUUGCCUGUCAAAAUCAUUUUUUAAUUCAUUGAUGAAGAUGUAUGAGGUCAAACUCAUGUACUUUUUUUGCUCUUUUAGAAUGUAACCAUGGGAUCCUAGAAGGGGAACCUUACUACCCAGUGAAGAGGGUGAUCCGCUGCAAAAUGCAGAAGGUUAGCUUUACAAUAAUUAAAAGUCUUAGAUGUACUCAGUGGAACUGCAGCACCCCAACUGGAAACCCCUUAACCCCCUAACUUUGAUGUUUUUUCAGGGGAUCCAAAUGAAGUUGGUGGAAUGGGAGCCCUGUUCACUCUGGUAUGUACAAUUUAUCAUAGUUUUGAUUGGAAUAGCCUAAUUCUUAGUACUUCAAAACUUAAAGUAAUAGCCUUGGCUUGUAUUUGUGGGCGGCUGUGGCUCAGUGUGUCGAAGUGUCCUUGGGCACACUUCGAGAGAGUUUCACAUCUAAUGCUGGCUAUUUCACAUGCAAGCAUGUCAGCCAAUUAAAUAAUCCAUGCCAUGGGACCUUUAAGGCAGAUAAACCUGACUGCCAUAAUUGAGAGACAUAUGUUGGUCAUAAGAACCAAUUUAUUCUGAGCAAAAGGGGAGGUCUUUCAUGACCAUAUUUUCAAGACUAAUAUUGUGCAGCAAAUUUUCAAGACUAAUAUUGUGCAGCAAAUAGGUAAUGCAUAUUCAAACCUUAACCAAAAUAUUACCAUAGGCAGGUAAUUUACUGUUACCAGGUAACUGUAAGUUUAUAAACCUACUGAAUGAAGGGGUGGCUUGCUGUUCCUCAUUGCCCUUAACCUUGUCAUGUUUGUUUUGAAUUUAAUUCAUGGCUGAUGUAAAGACCUAAAUUAAUAACAAUCUCUUUUUAUUACAGUGGGAAAACUUGGCCGCCACAGUGGGUGACGGAGGAGAACACCACAAAUUAAGGAAAUGUUCAAUCCCAUUGUUUUGUUCCAUAAGUUAUGUGUAUGUUGUUUACAGUAUAUUAAAAAAAAUUCAAAAGCCUGAAAGACUCCCACUUUGUAGCAAACCAGAGAACACAUGCUGUGUUUACAAAAGCUUGACAGAUCAUCUCUCUCCUUCACACAUAGAUGAUAGAUAGAUAGAUAGAUAUUGCAUACUUCAAAUAAUAUAAAUACAAUUAAUUCACCUCCAUGCAGAGAAAAACUUGAUAAUACACCAGAAAUAAGUUAUUACCACUGAUCUAUAAUAUAGAUCAGUGGUUAUUACUAAGACCAGACACGUGGUGGCAGCACUGAAUAUGUCAUGAGAAACGUCAUCACAUCAGUGGAACACUGCCUGGAUAUUUAAAAUAACUAAAAGUAACUAAAUAACUGGAUAACUAAAAGUACUUCUUCUUUUUCGUAACUCGUCACUUUGUCAACAUUAGUUUCUCCCGCUGCCACGGAUUAAUGUGUGUGUGUGUGUGUGUGUGUGUGUGUGUGUGUGUGUGUGUGUGUGUGCGUGCGUGCGUGCGUGCGUGUGUGAGAGAGUGAUUGAUUAAUGUGUUGAUCAGCAAAUCAACCUCAGACGCAACGCAUAUAGUGGGCAGGGGUUUGAUCCGUCAGACGGAGCGAAAUCGCGAGGAAGAGUAUGUGGAAUCUGGGGCCACAGCUAUGGUAGGCGAUAGCAGCGUCCAUAGCAACCAAAACGUUGCAGUUUCACGUUACUCUGGCGAGAUCUGAAAAAUCUUCGCAACAACGAGCAAGCGAAUGAUUAUAUAAAUUCACUGAGUGAAUAUUAUGAAAAUAAAAUAUAUAUUUCUCGCUAGAAAUGUAAUCAAAACUUAUUUUUAUGCAGAAACUAACUCAAAAUAUAGAUUUUUUCACUUAAAAUGAGAGAAAUGUCCGCCAUGUUUUUUGUUCUCACGGUCGGAAUCUUGAAAGUCACGUGACUUGGACGCAAAACAAUAGGAAAAGAAUAGGCAAAAAAAACGUAACAGUCAUACAAUUCAAGGGCCAUUAUUGUAACCCCUCUACGUUUUUCACUUUGGACCAACGUAGUCAGGGUACGUUUUUAUAUGAGACUGGGUUGAUCUGACCCAUUAUAUUCAGACAUUACCCAAACAGAGAUUAUGUAGAACAGCGAAAGCACAAUGAUAUAAAUGGC